CGGGAGGAAAAAAAAAGAAAAAGAAAUCGGCUUAAAUAGGAAAUUAAAGUUUGAAAAAUAUGUAUGGUAAAGAAGACAACGAUUGAGAAUAGACACCAGGAGGAAAGCAACCAAAAAUCAUGCACACAAAAAAAAGGAACUCCCAUUUUCCAAGGUAUUCAAAAUCAGCCUCAGGAGAUCUAAAUGUGCCGGCCACAUGCCAGCUGUCAACGC